UGGGGAAUAUUGCACAAUGGGCGAAAGCCUGAUGCAGCGACGCCGCGUGCGGGAUGAAGGCCUUCGGGUUGUAAACCGCUUUUAAUUGGGAGCAAGCGAGAGUGAGUGUACCUUUUGAAUAAGCACCGGCUAACUACGUGCCAGCAGCCGCGGUAAUACGUAGGGUGCAAGCGUUAUCCGGAAUUAUUGGGCGUAAAGAGCUCGUAGGCGGUUUGUCACGCCUGGUGUGAAAGUCCAUCGCUUAACGGUGGAUCUGCGCCGGGUACGGGCAGGCUAGAGUGCAGUAGGGGAGAUUGGAAUUCCCGGUGUAACGGUGGAAUGUGUAGAUAUCGGGAAGAACACCAAUGGCGAAGGCAGAUCUCUGGGCUGUUACUGACGCUGAGGAGCGAAAGCAUGGGGAGCGAACAGGAUUAGAUACCCUGGUAGUCCAUGCCGUAAACGGUGGAUGCUGGAUGUGGGACCCUUCCACGGGUUCCGUGUCGGAGCUAACGCGUUAAGCAUC
rnacentral:rRNA from 1 species